rnacentral:rRNA from 1 species
GACGAACGCUGGCGGCGUGCUUAACACAUGCAAGUCGAACGGUAAGGCUCCAGCUUGCUGGGGUACACGAGUGGCGAACGGGUGAGUAACACGUGGGUGACCUGCCCUGCACUUCGGGAUAAGCCUGGGAAACUGGGUCUAAUACCGGAUAGGACCGCACCGUGAGGGUGUGGUGGAAAGUUUUUUCGGUGUGGGAUGGGCCCGCGGCCUAUCAGCUUGUUGGUGGGGUAAUGGCCUACCAAGGCGGCGACGGGUAGCCGGCCUGAGAGGGUGGACGGCCACAUUGGGACUGAGACACGGCCCAGACUCCUACGGGAGGCAGCAGUGGGGAAUAUUGCACAAUGGGCGGAAGCCUGAUGCAGCGACGCCGCGUGGGGGAUGACGGCCUUCGGGUUGUAAACUCCUUUCACCAUCGACGAAGGGUUUCUGACGGUAGAUGGAGAAGAAGCACCGGCUAACUACGUGCCAGCAGCCGCGGUAAUACGUAGGGUGCGAGCGUUGUCCGGAAUUACUGGGCGUAAAGAGCUCGUAGGUGGUUUGUCGCGUCGUCUGUGAAAUUCCGGGGCUUAACUCCGGGCGUGCAGGCGAUACGGGCAUAACUUGAGUACUGUAGGGGAGACUGGAAUCCCUGGUGUAGCGGUGAAAUGCGCAGAUAUCAGGAGGAACACCGGUGGCGAAGGCGGGUCUCUGGGCAGUAACUGACGCUGAGGAGCGAAAGCAUGGGGAGCGAACAGGAUUAGAUACCCUGGUAGUCCAUGCCGUAAACGGUGGGCGCUAGGUGUGGGUUUCCUUCCACGGGAUCCGUGCCGUAGCUAACGCAUUAAGCGCCCCGCCUGGGGAGUACGGCCGCAAGGCUAAAACUCAAAGGAAUUGACGGGGGCCCGCACAAGCGGCGGAGCAUGUAGAUUAAUUCGAUGCAACGCGAAGAACCUUACCUGGGCUUGACGUAUACAGGAUCGCGCCAGAGAUGGUGUUUCCCUUGUGGCUUGUAUACAGGUGGUGCAUGGUUGUCGUCAACUCGUGUCGUGAGAUGUUGGGUUAAGUCCCGCAACGAGCGCAACCCUUGUCUUAUGUUGCCAGCACGUUGUGGUGGGGACUCGUAAGAAACUGCCGGGGUUAACUCGGAGGAAGGUGGGGAUGACGUCAAAUCAUCAUGCCCCUUAUGUCCAGGGCUUCACACAUGCUACAAUGGUCGGUACAGUGGGUUGCCAGUCCGUGAGGGCGAGCUAAUCCCGCAAAGCCGGUCUCAGUUCGGAUCGGGGUCUGCAACUCGACCCCGUGAAGUCGGAGUCGCUAGUAAUCGCAGAUCAGCAACGCUGCGGUGAAUACGUUCCCGGGCCU